UACGUAGGGUGCAAGCGUUUAAUCGGAAUUACUGGGGCGUAAAGCGUGCGCAGGCGGUUGUGCAAGACAGAUGUGAAAUCCCCGGGCUUAACCUGGGAAUUGCAUUUGUGACUGCAAGGCUAGAGUUUGGCAGAGGGGGGGUAGAAUUCCACGUGUAGCAGUGAAAUGCGUAGAUAUGUGGAGGAACACCGAUGGCGAAGGCAGCCCCCCUGGGUCAAAAACUGACGCUCAUGCACGAAAGCGUGGGGAGCAAACAGG
rnacentral:rRNA from 1 species